GAUGAACGCUGGCGGCGUGCCUAAUACAUGCAAGUCGAGCGAACGGACGAGAAGCUUGCUUCUCUGAUGUUAGCGGCGGACGGGUGAGUAACACGUGGAUAACCUACCUAUAAGACUGGGAUAACUUCGGGAAACCGGAGCUAAUACCGGAUAAUAUUUUGAACCGCAUGGUUCAAUAGUGAAAGACGGUUUUGCUGUCACUUAUAGAUGGAUCCGCGCGGCAUUAGCUAGUUGGUAAGGUAACGGCUUCCAAGGCAACGAUGCAUAGCCGACCUGAGAGGGUGAUCGGCCACACUGGAACUGAGACACGGUCCAGACUCCUACGGGAGGCAGCAGUAGGGAAUCUUCCGCAAUGGGCGAAAGCCUGACGGAGCAACGCCGCGUGAGUGAUGAAGGUCUUCGGAUCGUAAAACUCUGUUAUUAGGGAAGAACAUAUGUGUAAGUAACUAUGCACAUCUUGACGGUACCUAAUCAGAAAGCCACGGCUAACUACGUG
rnacentral:rRNA from 1 species